rnacentral:lncRNA from 1 species
GUCCAGUUGGCCCUCCCUUAUCUGAAAUCAGAAGAUGUCCACUUUGUGAGCAAGAACUGGCAAAGAAAUACUCCUAUACAAUGAUGGCCUUCCUUGCUGAUGAAUACUGCAACUACUGUCAAGACAUUUUGCAAACUGUGAAGAACCACAAACUCAAGAGGGUAGGCUUUUAUUUCUACAGGGCACGCAUCUGUGACUGGC